rnacentral:rRNA from 1 species
UACGAAGGUGGCAAGCGUUGUUCGGAUUUACUGGGCGUACAGGGAGCGUAGGCGGUUGGAUAAGCCCUCCGUGAAAUCUCCAGGCUUAACCUGGAAAGUGCAGAGGGGACUGUUCAGCUAGAGGAUGGGAGAGGAGCGCGGAAUUCCCGGUGUAGCGGUGAAAUUCGUAGAUAUCGAGAGGAACACCGGUGGCGAAGGCGGCCAACUGGACGAAUACUGACGCUGAGACUCGAAAGCGUGGGGAGCAAACAGG